rnacentral:lncRNA from 1 species
GGGGCUGAACCGGCUGAGCUUCCCAGGGACGCCCCGACCCAAGCCCUGCAGUCCGCGCGCGUCAGGGGUGUGCGCUGGAGGCCGGAAAGUCGAAUAUCACUUCCCAUCCUGCAUUUGAUGUGCUUUGGGGUUGAAAAAGCCCUUAUGUGGUAAAAAAAAAAAAAAAAAAAAAGUCAGAAAAGUGGCAAAAGUCUUCAACGGCCUGAAAAAGGCCGAGACAGGAACUGAGAAGCUGGCAGUAGGUCCUGCUACUGCUGCAGGGGCGGCGGGCGCCCUGGGUGGGCCACGAGGCAGGGACAGCCGAGGCUCCGCGCUCACCCCACCCGCAAGGGGCCAAGCGCAGACUCAGGGGAGCCAGAGGGGCCGGACCGCUGAGCAAGGGCUGGGGAAGGGAAUGACGGAAGGAGCCCUCUGCCCCCAUGUAGCCUAUAGCUGGGACACGCAGCAGCCAGUGAGUUGGUCACGGUAUGAAGGCUUCUCUCCUCCCGGCAAUCACAGAUCCCACGCUUGGAUACUUGGGAGUGAAGAUGUGUUAUUUCACCCACCGACUCGUUCCACACGACCAAGGCCUGUGCCUGCCCUGAGGGCGAGUUGGUUGAGCCUUGUACAGACAACUCUCAGAGCGUGGGCCUGGGCCGAACCUUUCCCUGUGAGCAGCAGCAUCAGCGUCUAGAACGACGGCCCUCCCGGUCCACGGUGGAAGGUGCGGAGCUCCCGUGGUGUGCUGGCAGCGAUUCGCAGAAGGGAGAUGGAGGGCCACAGGGCAGGUGCUCGCACGGAGUCAUCGAGGUCCAGGGACACCUUCCUCCCAGGUGAGCUCACAAAGGCACCACACAUUAAUCCUGGGAGACAACCAUUCUGAUGUGGCUAAGGCCAUCGACAGGGAACAUGAUUGUCAGGAAACCUCAACUUUUCGAUAAAUGACAGCAAAACCUGAAUGCAGGAGAAAUGUAUCUCAUUUUAAUGCCUGACUUCUAAGCAUCCUUAUUCAACAUAUUAUAUGUAUUUUUUGUUUCAUGAGUAAAAUGUACAUUGAGCUUCCUCCAGUAGCUGUCCAUAGACCAGCCACUAUCACUGCCAUCAUUAUUUUGUUUCUAAACUUUUCUUUUUACACAUGUAGGUCUAGCUUUUUCCUCCAUAUUGAUGAACUAAAACUCACUCAUUUCACAACUCAAAGCCAGGGCCUUCAGUUCACAGCCCGUUGCCUCAGACGGCCUUUCCUAUAUCUUAUUGCUUCACUGUCUGACUCACUCCAGCGUGUUUCAGCCAAGUAUACUUGUUUUUAUUCAUCUUGCUCUCUUUUCCUCCCUCCCCCAACUCCCCCUCUUUCCCUCUGUCUCUUUGUCUCUUUCUCUCUCCCCCAUCCCUCCCUCUCUUCCCCUUUCUCUCUGGAUGCCCUCUCUCCCUCUCUCCCUCCCUCUCUUCCCCUUUCUCUCUGGAUGCCCUCUCUCCCUCUCUCCCUCCCUCUCUUCCCCUUUCUCUCUGGAUGCCCUCUCUCCCUCUCUCCCUGUUUUUCUUCUCUGUGUCUGCCUGCAUAAUAUUCAGAAAUCCCAACAAGAGCAGCUGGAGCUGCUAAAGAAACCCCAGCGUUCUGUGCUGCUGCCAUUGCCUCCUCCAACUGGUGAGCCCGAUCGGCCCAUUUUUAGGCAGUGCUGUGGUUGGAAAUGGGCCCUUCCUCUGGGGUCCGCUACUUCCCUCCACCUGACUCAGAAGAAUGAGUCAAGAGGGAAGAACAGCUCGUAUUAGGGAGAGGGUCCCGUGUGCUGUUGCCUUUUUCGGAAUCAUUUCAAUCAUGUUUGCCAAAUUCCCUACGAAGUUCUGUUCCCUCGUUUGACAAUGAGCAGAGGCAGGAGAGAUGAAUUGCUAAAUGGUUGUAUCCCACACCGUGCUGGGAGGCUCAGCAGAACAGAGACCUGUGUCAAGCAGGGCUUCCUUCUCCACCAGGCCCUUCAGCCUGCAUUUUAACCUGUGACUUGCGAGGAGAUAGCCCGUGAUCACACCACAGGCCUACUUACAUGACAGGAAGCAAAAUGCCAAUUCCUUCUACCCCUUUCCCCCACCCCGGUAGAAACCCUGCUAGUUCUUUUUAAAAAAGGGAGAGAGAUCAUGUAUAGAAAACCUUUUUUACAAUUUAUUUCCUGUUGUUAAUCUUUAAAAAUGAGGUUCUAGC